UAGGGAAUCUUCGGCAAUGGACGAAAGUCUGACCGAGCAACGCCGCGUGAGUGAAGAAGGUUUUCGGAUCGUAAAACUCUGUUGUUAGAGAAGAACAAGGACGUUAGUAACUGAACGUCCCCUGACGGUAUCUAACCAGAAAGCCACGGCUAACUACGUGCCAGCAGCCGCGGUAAUACGUAGGUGGCAAGCGUUGUCCGGAUUUAUUGGGCGUAAAGCGAGCGCAGGCGGUUUCUUAAGUCUGAUGUGAAAGCCCCCGGCUCAACCGGGGAGGGUCAUUGGAAACUGGGAGACUUGAGUGCAGAAGAGGGGAGUGGAAUUCCAUGUGUAGCGGUGAGAUGCGUAGAUAUAUGGAGGAACACCAGUGGCGAAGGCGGCUCUCUGGUCUGUAACUGACGCUGAGGCUCGAAAGCGUGGGGAGCAAACAGG
rnacentral:rRNA from 1 species